rnacentral:misc_RNA from 1 species
GAUGAAGAACGUAGCGAAAUGCGAUACGUAAUGUGAAUUGCAAAUUUCAGUGAAUCAUCGAAUCUUUGAACGCACAUUGCGCCCGCUAGUAUUCUGGCGGGCAUGCCUGUUCGAGCGUCAUUUCAACCAUCAAGCCCUAGGCUUGCGUUGGAGCCCUGCGGCUGCCGCAGGCUCCCAAAUCCAGUGGCGGGCUCGUCGUCGUACCGAGUGCAGUAAACAUCCUCGCUCAGGGAACGUGACGGGUUCUUGCCGUGAAACCCCCCACAUAUCAAGGUUGACCUCGGAUCAGGUAGGAAUACCCGCUGAACUUAAGCAUAUCAAUAAGCGGAGGA